GUUUUUAUUUCUACAUCUACGAUUUAGCAGGAAUGGCUUAAAGGGACACUAUAGUCAAAAAAAAUUACUUAAACUUAAUUAAGAGGUUUUUGUGUAUAGAUCAUGCCCCUGCAGUCUCAUUGCUCAAUUAUCUACCAUUUAGGAGUUAAAUCACUUUGUUUAUGCAGCCCUAGGCACUCCUCCCUGCAUGUGACUUACACAGCCUUUCUAAACACUUCCUGUAAAGAGUCAUCUAAUGUUUAUAUACUUCCUCUUUUGCAAAUUCUGUUUUAUGUACAAUUUCUUAUAUCCUGCUCUGUUAAUAGCUUGCUAGACU